CAUUUGAUUAAGUGUAGGACUAAACAAGCUCUUUUCUUUUGCGGCUGGUGCAUUGGUUUUUUUAUUGAUUUGAUCAACUUGAAAUUUGAUCUUCUAUUACUUAGCAAUUGGGAGUUUUGUAAUUUCCGUUGAAUUUUCCCCAACUCUGCAACGAAACCUCUAUUGGGUCUAUUUCCUUUUCGAUUGUGAAGAUUCUGAGUUUCUGAAAUGUCUUGUAUUGUAAUCCUUGAAUUGGUUUUGGUCAAUCAUUUCUCUUCAGAGUGUUAUGUGUUUAUGUGUACAAAAGAUCAAUACUUUAAUGCUGAGUAGGUGUUACAGAGAAAAAAUUUCGAUCUCUUCUCUGGAAAUUUCUGCACCUGUCUGAAUCUAAUUCACUCAUUGGUUGGGAAAUUUGGUUUUAGGGAAUGAGGAAAGUAUAUACGGGUUUAAGUAUUGUCAGUUUUCACCCCAUUUCUAGCAAAUUUUGGUUACUCUUUAAUGUAGGUUCUUAUGAUUGCUGUUAGAUUAUGUUUCAGCUUUAAACUCUGAAGAAACAAGUGAUUACUUAGUAGCGUAACAUUUGAAAGAUUUUUGAAUUGACAGGGAAUGUGAGAGCGUUUGAAGCUGUGUACCCAUCCAAGAAGUUAGCCUAAUGUUUUUACUUGAUGAUAGACUUGCAUAACAUCUUUAGUGUCUUAAGCCAUGUGAGUGCCGAGAGGUCACUGACAGUGUAGUAGUAAACUUGUAGAUAAAUUCUUGCAAGGUCUUUUCUCAAGUCGAAGUUAGCCAAUGUCUUACUUGACGACGAUCUGAACAUCUUGUCUCAGAUUGUGGUUUGGCCCUGUGACUCAGGUAAACUGCUAAAGCCCAAAGAGCUUGGUUCUUAUAGUUUCUCCUUUUCAGUCUUCAAGAUCCCAAGAAAAGUAACUCCAUUUUUCAGGGCAACUACUAGCCUCUCAUAGAUAUGGAGCAGACUUAGGAAUCUACUGAAUUGCAGAGAAGGAGAAGUACAGUUCUCAGUCACAACAACCACAAGUCAACAACAACGAAGGGGAACUAAAGAAAAAAACAUAAAAAGGGUCAUAACCUUUGGAUGAGCUUAAGUUGAUUUUGCAGCUUAAAAAAAAGGUUAUGUUUCCAGGAUUCUUGUGAAUUGGCUUUCAAUUGGUGGGGGAUUUCAGUUUUUGAGAAAUCUUGAAUCAGUCUCUGCUUUGUAAUCUUUGUUCGUUAAAAGGUUCCUUCUACUGUAAAAUGGUGUGUUUACAAAAUUCGUUGAAAUUGUUUGUACUUCAAAAGUUUGGACAACUUGCUCUGUGUUUGUAAUCUUUUAAGCUGUGUGAAAUUUGUUAAUUCAUCUCAUUUGACCAAAAAUUAUAGUUACCAAUGAUAUAGUGAGGUCUAAUAAACCGGACUUAACCGAACCAAACGGAUCCGGUUUAUGCAAUUGUAUUUUCUACACACGUAGAAACCGCAAGUGGAGCGAUAGAGAGAGUGAGGACUCGGGAUUUAAAUGCUAAAUGCUUCGUUAAAUUUCUUCCAUUUUCCUGUUUUCGCU
rnacentral:lncRNA from 1 species